UCUAAUCCAAUGGUUGGAUUUCUUUCUAGAAUUAAUAUCAAAGUUUGACAAGGGUUCCAUCUCUUUCCAUAUCUCAAAGAAAACAACGUCUCUUUCCUCUCUGCCAUGACAGAUGGUUUUUGGCUUCUUAUAUCUUAGCAAAAUUUGAUUCUCAUAUCUUAUAAUUAGAAAUUUGUGUGGCCAUUCUAAAGAAAUUCUCUACAAACUCAAAGCAAUUUGACUGAAGAAUUCAAAAUUCAUUUGCCAUUUCCAAUGAAGUUGACAAAGGUAAAAAGAAUUCUCCUUUUCAUCUCUUUACAAUAUCGACACCCGAAUCCCUGCUCCCUCUGCCCAUAUCGUCCUUUACUUCCUGCGACACGCAUUUCAAAGGGUUCUUUAGCCGUUUGAAAUCCUAACCCUUAAAGAAUACCGCCCAAACUAACCCCAGAAAAGCUCUAGUAAUUCUUCUAUAAAUACCGAGGUUUGGUAAUAAUUUCGAACAACUUUUGGGAGCCAUCUUCAAACAAUUUUAUUCUUCAAAAAUACUCUAAAAAUCUUAGUUGCGUCGCCUCUGUUACUCUUUGCUACAACAGAGGUAUUUUUCUUUGUACUUUUUGGAGCUUGUAAAGUCCGUGGUUGUCAGCUCAAGUUCAAAACCACAAAAGGUCAGUGAGUGAAAUUUUUCUUCUCGCUUUGUCUUUGAAGUUUUAAAAUGGUUUUAUGUUCUUUUGAAUGAAUUUUAGUUGUUGCUUGUUAAAAUCGUAAAUUUGAGCAAACUCGUUUAGAAGACAUGAAAUUAUAGGUAUCUGGUUAAAUCAAAGUAAGAGUCCAAUAAAGCAUAAAUAGGCUUCUAGCAAUUAACACAUUAGUAGUUGAUGAAAUGGCUUUUUAUUUUAAGUAUAUUAUAAUUAUAAUUCCCUCUUUUCUUUUGUCAAAAUUACGCCGUUGCAUUUUGUCUAGCAUGUACCAAAUUUUACUCUUCACUCCAUGUAUUAAAGUUAUUGCCUCUCUUUUUCAUGUCUCAAAAUAUAUCCCAACUUUUACUGUUUUUAGUGUAAAUGCAAUAGAAAACAUAUUGUUAGAAAUGAACUAUUUGGGUGCUUAGUUUAAAUGUCUUCGUGUUUAGAAAUAAGUUUUAAAAAGUGGCUUGCUUCAUCGGUUUGUGUCUAAAAAAUAAUAAGAUUUAAGACCUUUUAUAUAGAUAUUACAUGUAUAGAAGUCACUGCCUUAAGAUAAACAUUUGAAGAAUGCUCGAUAUUUGAAAUAUUUUUUCUUUUGUGAGUUAAGAACUAGAAUUUCAAAAUAAAUGCUAGCACUUAUUUAUUUUAUUAUAGGUUAUUUACUUUAUCAGGAUUAAUCUCAGCCAUUAGGUGCAUCAAAUCCAAUGGUUGGAUUUCUUUCUAGAAUUAAAAUCAAAGUUUGACUAGGGUUCCAUCUCUUUCCCUCUCUCAAAGAAACAACGUUUCUUUUCUCUCUGCCAUAAUAGAGGGUUUUGGCUUCUCAUAUUUUCUUAGCAAAAUUUGACUCCCAUAUCUUAUCAUCAGAAAUUUGUGUGCAAUUCUAAGGAAAUUCUCCGCAAACUUAAAGCAAUUUGACUGAAGAAUUCAAAAUUCAUUUGCCAUUUGCAAUGAAGUUGACAAAGGUAAAAAGAUUCUCCUUUUCUUCUCUUCACAAUUUCGGCAAACGAAUCCCUGCUCCCUCUGCCCAUAUCUUCCUUUGCUUCCUUCUACACGCCAUUUCAAAUGGUUCUUUAGCCGUUUGAAACCCUAACCCUUAAAGUAUCCCGCCCAAACUAACCCUAGAAAAGUCCUAGUAAUUCUUCUAUACAUACCGAGGUUUGGUAAUAAUUUCAGACAACUUUUGGGAGCCAUCUUCAAAAAAAUUUAUUCUUCAAAAAUACUAUAAAAAUCUUAGUUGCGUCAGCCUCUAUUACUCCUUGCUACAACGUCAGAGGUAUUUUUCUUUGCACCUUUCAGAGCUUGUAAAGUCCGUGGUUAUAAGCUCGAGUUCAAGUUCGAAGCCAAAGUCCAGCAGAUCUGCUCGGCGGGACCCAGUUCCUGUUUUACUUCUCGCUUUGUCUUCGAAGUUUUAAAAUGGUUGUAUGUUUUUUUGAAUGAGUUUUAGUUGUUGCUUGUUAAAAUUGUGAAUUUGAGCCAACUCGUUUAGAAGCCAUGAAGAUAUAGGUAUCUGGUUAAAUCAAAAUAAGAGUCCAAUUGUCACGAUCCCAAAUACCCCGAUCGUGAUGGCGCCUAUCAUAGUACUAAGCAAGUCAAACCAACACUUAACACAUCGAAUUCUUUUUAUAAAAAUUAUUUUCUAAAACCAAUUAAGUCUCAAAUUCUUCAUAUGUAAUAUAUAAAUCAACAGAAAUAUGCAGAAACCAGUACAACAUAUACUAACCCAGCCCGAAUCUGGUGUCACUAGUCAUGAACCUCUAAGUACAACCAAAACACUGUCUGAAUAAUACAAAUAGUCUAAAAUAAAAAAAUACUAAGAUAGGAAGGAGGAAGGCAGGGUUGCGAAUGUCGUGCAGCUACCUUGCAAUCUCCGGAUAAACUCUAAGAGUGCUGGAAGCUCUCACUCUGAUACUCGGGCACCUGGAUCUGCACACAAGGUGCAGGGAGUAACGUGAGUAUGCCAACUCAGUAAGUAACUAAAGUAAAUCAAGUCUGAGUGCAGUGAUGAGCUUUUAAAAUAUAAGAAAUCUCAACAGAAAUAUCAAGUCAAAAAUCUGCAUUUUGAUAGCCAGUUAUCUCGUAAAACUCCAGUUUAAAUUAAAAAUCCUUUGAAAACAUUUAUUCGACAUUUUUCAACAGAGGCUCAAUAUAAAAGAGGAGUAAAGGUAGCAAAAAUGUCAUAAACAAGCCCCUCGGGCAAUGUAUCACUCAUAAGUAUAGCCUCUCGGGCAAGCCUCUAGUCACUCGUGACUCAGCUCUCGUCAAUCAGUACUCACAUUCAGCACUCCGGCUCAAUAGAUAUCUCAUAAUAAUAAUAAUAAUAAUAAUAACAAUGAUAACCGCUGCGGCGUGCACCCCGAUCCAUAGUUUAUAAUCGACUACGCUCACUGGGGUGUGCAGACUCCGGAGGGGCUCCUACAGCCCAAGCGUCAUAUUGUUACGGCGUGCAGCCCGAUCCAAUAUAUAUCGCUGCGGCGUGCAGCCCGAUCCGUAAUAUAUAUCGCUACGGCGUGCAGCCCGAUCCAUAUAAAUAUCGCUACGACGUGUAGCCCGAUCCAUAAUGUAUAUAUAAUCCUCACCAUUAGGUCCUCAACCUCUCUCAGUCAUUAACCUCACGGUCACUCGAGCAUAUCAGUGAAAAAUCAAGGAAACUCAGCCCAAACAGUUUUCAUAUAUUAAGAAGUAGAGUGGUGAAACCGGAUUUAAAUAAUAAACAGGUAAAACAUGACUGAGAAUAUGCUUUCAAAUUAAAUAGAGUGAGGAAAGUAGUAAAAUACCCCUAAGGGUCUAAACAGGUCGGCACAAAGGCCCCAAACAUGGCAUUCAACCCAAGUUAUCAAACCAAUUUCUAAACACAUGGAUAUCAUUUACAAUAUAUCAAAAUAUGCAACUAUAUAGUCGCCACUGGACGAACCAAGUCACAAUCCCUACGGGUGCACGCCCACACGCUCAUCACCUAGCAUGUGCGUCACCUCAUUUAUAAAAACAGUACAAAAUUCCGGGGUUUCAUACCCUCAAUCUAGAUUUACAAUGGUUACUUACCUCAAACCGGGUGAAAUAUUACUCCGCGAUGCCCUUGCCUCUCAACUCGCAUCGAAUCUAUCCAAAAUCAGAAUAUAACAUCAAUAUAUGCUAAGGGAACGAAGCUCAUGCAAAAAUAAUCAAUUUACAUAAAAAAUCCCCAAAUUGGCCAAAUCCGACCCCGGGCCCACGUAUCGAAUUCCGAUAAAAAUUACAAAACUAGAAUCAUUACUCUCUCACAAGUUCAUAGAUACCAAAUGCAUCAAAAUCUGACCAUAAAUGACCCGUCAAAUCCUCAUAUCAAAGUCUCCAAUUUCAAGCCCUAACUUCCCAAUUUUAGGCUUUAAAUACCACUAUUUUCAUGUUUAAUUAGGUAGAAAUCAUCAUAGAAUCGUGUAUUGAGUUCAAAAAUCUUACCUCCAAGUGUUUCCCUUCGAUUCCCUCUUUAACCCUUCUCAAAAAUCUCCAAAUCCGGCCAACAAUGGUGAGAAAUGGCAUAAAAUUCGCGAAGAUGGCUAUUUAAACAUUCUGCCUAGGUAAUUUUCCUUAAUCGCGAUCGCGAAGAACAAACUUUACUGACUAAGAAAUAACCUUACGUGAAUGUGUCUCUCCCCACGCGAACGCGAUACACAGCUUCCUCACACCUACGCGAUAGCGGACCAGGGAUCGCGUUCGCGAUGAACAAAUGCGUGAUCCAACCUUGGUCUAUUUAACCUUACGCGAACGCGACUUAACUCAUGCUUUCGAGAUGCUUUACCUGAACAACACUCGCGAUCACAGCCUCAGAUAUGUGAACGCAAAGAACAACCUUGCCUACCUCUACAACUGCUUUACGCAAUCGCGAGCCACCUCACGCGAUCGCGAAGAAGAAACAUCUGCAACAGAAUUGAUGUCACGCCCCGAGCCUGGGGGCGAGACCGGUACCUGGUGCCUCAUCUAUCCUUGCAUACCUACUUGCGACUAAGAGACUCUGAUAUGUAUACUUUGGCCAUGGGCCACAUUAAAAGUUAAUGUGCCAGCAAAAUAUAAAACUGCAUAGAGACUAAUGCUGACUAAAUGUCAACAUACAGCUGGGCCGGCAAGGCCGUCGUAAUUACUACAACUGACAAGCCAACAAAAUAUACGUAUAGGCCUACAAGCCCAACAUACUGCGCUAACCGACAAGAUAUAUCUACAAGCCUCUACUUUUAGAUAUACUGUGAUCGGAACAAGACCCUGACCUACCCAUAACCUAUCUACAUAUAUACACAAGAUGUACACAAAACUUCUAGACCCGGCAACUCUGAAGGACGGGGAGCUUACCGAUAAAGCUGAACUCGGGCAAACACCUACUAAGGAGGUCUACCCGUAUGCCUCUCUGAACCUGCACGCAUGAAAUGCAACGCCCCUAGAAAGGGACGUCAGUACAAAAUAAUGUACCGAGUAUGUAAGGCAAUGUACUGAAAGCUGAAACUGAACUGAUAAUAUAAUAACUGCAAGUAGCUAGAAGUCAAAGAUAAUCUGAAGAUAUGUUUACCUGCUGAUACUUACUCAACUCUCUCAAUAUAGUAAGUAAAAUAGUUGUCCGACCCUAUUAGGCUCGGUAUAUAUAUAACUGCUCUACCGUGAAUUAGGCUCGCUCAUAGGCGCUCGGCCAUACUAGGCUUUGUAUCUCAACCAACUGGGCUCGCUCAUAGGCGUUCAGCCACAGUAGGCUCGGUAUAUAACUUACCAUCUAAUUAGAGGUUGCCUAAUAGGGGCCUGCCCAUCAAUUAUAGCUCGAUGAUAAUAAAAAUAAUGUAAUACUGGAUAUAUAGACUCUCUGCUCUCUUGACUGGAAGAAGGAAUACUCAAUUCUUUGAUGUCGAAAGGGAAGUUUAACAUUUUCAUGCAUGCAUCAAUAAAAACUUCAAGUAGAUGAAGCAGUAGACAUCUUUAUUUGGUAUUUAAUUUGGUGGUCAAUCAGAGGCAUUCAUAAUUUGACAAUUAUGUGAUAUUGGUCAGACUGAAAACAACGAAUGAGCUUCUUAAUGUAGCGAUAUCCUAUUUCUAAGAACUGAAAAGUUUAGGAAAUGAAUAUAAAGUCCCGCUAAAGAGAAUAUUAUAAUUUACGAAACUAGGAAAAUAUACGUAAAUUCCGGGAUAUGGAAUUUUCUUUAUGCUUCAUUAUCAAACUCCUGUAAUUACGAGAUUAUGCCAAAAUGAAGGAAUGGCUUAGCCUUAACAUACCUGGAGUAGGGAAAAAUCCGUAUGAUAUUCUUGGAAAAAGAUUGCACCGUACUCCUUUAGAACCGCAAAAUUUUAUGUUGCUAAUAAUUCUCGUUGGAUCUCUUUUGGUUGCGAGAAUUCAUGUUGCUUAAUAUAACACAUAGGAUCUGACUAGAGUAUUUUUGAAUGAAACUUGUUGAAAGUUUUUAGGGUAGAUAACGUUCCCCAUUUCUUAAUGGUGAUGUCUUGAUAUGGAAAAUGUUUAAAACUAAAUAAAGGUAUAACUAACAUGUUAUGCCACCUAGUAAGAAUAAGUGUUGUUAUAAGAAUUAGCUUAACUAAUUGCCACGUUUUGGGUUGUCUAGUCUCAUAGUUUAAUUAUUAAUUAGGUAAUAUCCCGCUAUUGGUGAUUAACCAAUUACCCACAUAAUUAAGAAUUGUCUCAAAUUACUUAAAAUUCUACUUAUUUUAAAUAUACCUUAUACAUCAUACUAUUGUGGUCAUAUGGUACCUUGCAUCGUACUAGUCCAUAAGUAUCGGGUAUUAUCGCUCGGCCCGUAGUUUAUCCCAAUUUGACAACCUUCAAUGAAACUCAUUUUCUUUAAUUCGUGUACCCCUUCCUUCAUGACACUUACUUAUUGCUUGGUAUAAAUAGCAUAACUAUGCUAACAUCAAGGUAAUCUCAUCCCUGAGUUUAUGUCAAUUUACUGAAGACGAAACUUUAAUGUACGAAAAACGCAAGAUGUAACAUCCUUCCCCCCUUAGAAACAUUCGUCCUCGAAUGUCUACUCUUAGAUACUUUGGGAAAAUCUUUGCCGGAGUCUCUUUUGUACACUAAACUAAAACCAACUUGUACGCAGCUAGAAAAUAUACUAUACAUGCCACACAUGGCCACUGUCUAUAAAUAGCAAUACUUGGCCUCACACAACUGUCCGUUAAAAAUUCUGAGAGUCAAAGAAAGGAGAGCUUACCUGAUGACCUACUGGCCUGAAUAGAGUUGUGCUGAGGUAUCCCACCUCAAGCCAUAUCCUCAGUUUGAAAUAGGUGGGGGGUAUUUAGACUUCAUUUCUUCCUUUGAUUCACACGUUAUCUCUUCCACCUUCUUGCUUCUCCAUAAAACCUUUAGGGAUGCUAUCUCCUUAUUUCGUAGCUUGCGGACUUGUCGGUCUAGGAUGGCAACCGGAAUUUCGUCUUAUGACAAGUCCUCUGUAAUCUGUACAUCAUCUGUGGGCACCACUCGGGUAGGAUCACCAAUUCACUUUCGUAACAUAGAUACAUGAAAAGCUGAAUGGAUAGACUCCAAUUCCGAGGGCAAUUCUAACUCAUAAACUACUUGGCCCACUCUCCAAAUGAUCCUAUAAGGCCCAAUAUACCGUGGGAUAAGUUUGCCUUUCUUGCCAAACCUCAUCACACCCUUCAUAGGUGACACUUUUAAGAAUGACCACUCAUCAACCCCGAACUCUAAAUCUCGUCGCCGCACGUCAGAAUAUGACUUUUGAUGACUCUGAGGUGUCAACAGUCGCUCCCAAAUAAGCUUUAUUUUUUCUAUGGCUUGCUGAACCAGGUCUGGCCCAUGUAAUCUAGAUUCUCCAACAUCAAACCACCCUAUAGGAGAUAUGCACUUACGCCCAUACAAAGCCUUGUAUGGAGCCAUCUGGAUACUGGAGUAGUAACUGUUAUUAUAAACAAACUCGAUAAGAGGUAGACCUUUCUGAAUUGUGCGCUCAGCUUGUCCAUCAGUUUGUGGAUGAAAAGUUGUGCUAAGAUUCUCCUCAGUCCCUAUACCUUUCUGAAAUGACCUCCAAAAAUGUGUUGUAAACUAGGCUCCACGGUCAGAUAUAAUAGAUAAUGGCACUUCGUGCAGUCGCACUAUCUCUUUAAUAAUAACGUUGCAUAAUCUUCUGCUGUAUAUGUAGAUCUGACCGGUAGGAAAUGAGCUGAUUUCGUGAGCCUAUCGACUAUCACCCAUAUGGAAUCGAACUUACGAUGAGAACGAGGCAAACCCUUGAUAAAGUCCAUGUUUAUUGCCUCCCAUUUCCAUGUCGGGAUCUCUAUAGUCUGUGUUAGCCCUCCGGGCUUCUGGUGCUCUAUCUUCACCUGUUGGCAACUAGGACAGUGAGCGACAUACUUAGCAAUGUUCUUCUUCAUAUCAUUCCACCAAUACAUCUCCUUAAUGUCAUGAUACAUCUUCAUCGACCCAGGGUGAAUGGAGUACCACGAAUAAUGUGCCUCUGACAUAAUCCUGUCUCGUAGCCCUACUAUAUCUAGAAUACACAAACGGAUCAUGUAUCUGAGAAUCCCAUCUCCCUUGAGUUCUAACAACGGAUUCUUCUGCUGCGGAACUCACUUUCUUAACUCGACCAACUUUGGGUCCUCGUGCUGCCUCUCCUUUACUUCAGCUAUGAGAGAUGAUUUUGUAGUAUUUUGGAGUACAACUCCUCCAUUAACAGAGUCUACUAACCGAAUCCCCAAACAAGCCAAUUGAUGAAUCUCUCUGGUUAAUUGUCUUUUUUCGGCCUCUAUAUGUGCUAAGCUACACAUAGAUCGGUGACUUAAGUCAUCUGCUACAACAUUAGCUUUUCCUUGGAUGGUAGAGAAUGCUAACAUCGUAAUCUUUUAAUAACUUAAGUCAUCGCCUCUAUCGCAAAUUAAACUCUUUUUGCUUGAAGAUAUAUUGCAGGCUUUUAUGAUCUGUGAAUAUAUCAACAUGAACACCAUAUAAAUAAUGCCGCCAUAUCUUAAAUGCAUGGACAACCGCAGCUAACUCGAGGUUGUGGGUCGGAUAAUUCUGUUCAUGCUUCCUUAACUUCCUUGAAGCAUACACAAUUACCUUCCCAUGUUGCAUCAGGACACACCCUAACCCAACACCUGAGGCAUCGCAAUACAUGGCAUAGCUAUCUAGGCCCUCUGGAAGUGCUAGAACUGGCGUUGAGGUCAACUUGUUCUUAAGCUCCUGGAAACUUUGCUCACAGGCCUCUGUCUACUGAAACUUAGUUGCUUUCUGCGUCAACUUCAUUAAUGGUGUUGAAAGAGAAGAAAAACCCUCUACGAACCUCCGGUAGUAUCCUGCUAAGCCUAAAAAGCUACGAAUCUAUGUUGGAGUGGUAGGUCUAGGCCAAGAUUUCACAGCCUCAAUCUUCUGAGUGUCUACCUUUAUACCUCCGUCGGAUACAAUGUGCCCCAAGAAUGCUACAGACUUCAACCAGAACUCACACUUAGAAAACUUAGCAUAUAAUUUAUUAUCACAGAAGGUUUGGAGUAACGCUCGCAGGUAGUCCACAUGCCCAUCCUCUGAACGUGAAUAAACCAGAAUAUCGUCAAUAAAGACUAUUACGAACAGAUCUAAAUAUGGCCGAAAUAGGCUAUUCAUCAAGUCCAUAAAUAUGGCAGGCAUAUUUGUCAACCCGAAGGACAUGACAAGGAACUCGAAGUGGCCAUAUCGGGUCCUGAAGGCUGUCUUGGGAAUAUCUUUCUCCUGAACUCUGACUUGGUGGUACUCUAACCUCAAAUCUAUUUUUGAAAAGCAUCUAGCUCCCUGCAACUGAUCAAACAAGUCAUCUAUCCUUGGAAGUGGAUGCUUAUUCUUAAUAGUUACCUUGUUUAGUUGCCUAUAAUCGAUACACAUCCUUAGCGAGCCGUUUUUCUUCCGUACAAAUAGUACCGGUGCACCCCAAGGUGAGGUACUAGGUCUGAUGAAACCUUUCUCUAGUAAAUCUUUUAACUGCUCCUUUAACUCCUUCAAUUCAGUGGGUGCCAUUCUAUACAGAGGGAUGGAUAUUGGUUGUGUUCCCAGAAGCAAAUCGAUGCCAAAAUCAAUCUCUCACUCUGGAAGAAUACCUGGAAGUUCAUCUGGAAAUACAUCUACGUACUCCCUUAGUACUGGAAUAGGCUGAAGUGUAGGUAUCUCAGCAUUUGCAUCUUUAACAUGCACAAUAUGAUAAAUGCACUCUUUUUCGAUUAUUUUCCUCACCUUCAGAUAGGAAAUAAACCUACCUCUAGGUGUCGCUGUAUUACCUACCCAUUCAAGGACUGGCCCACCCGGAAAAUGAAAUCUGGCUAUCUUUGCUCAACAAUCAACUGUGGCAUAACAAGCUGCCAACCAGUCCAUGCCCAUGAUAACAUCAAAAUCCAAUAUCUCUAGCUCAACAAGGUCGGCUGAGGUCUAACGACCACAAACUAUCACUGCACAACCUUGGUAAACCCGUCUAGCGAUAUCGAUUCUCUUACCGAUGUAGAUACCGCAAAAGGAUCACUUAGUAUUUCAGGCACUAUACCAAAUUUCCUCGUGACAUGGGGUAAUACAUGAUAAAGUAGAUCCUGGGUCUAUCAAGGCAUAAACAUCAUGGGAACAAAUGGUCAACAUACAUGUCACAACGUCUGGUGAGGACUCUUGGUCCUUUUGACCUGCUAGCGCAUAGAUACAAUUCUGGUUACCACCUGAACUGGACCCUCUACCGCUGUCUCGACCUCUACACGCCAAAUACUGAGGCUCGCACCCUGAAGGAUGCACGAACAUAGCUGAUCAUGUUGCUGAAUUCGCUGGUUGCACUAUUCCCCCAAAUUCUCUAUUUGGGCAAUCUCGCAUCAUCUGCCCCGGACGUCCACAUGUAUAACAAGCAUCGGAACCGGCUCGGCAUUGGCCCAAAUGUCCUCUACCGCAGAUGGCACAGCGCGGCAAAAAUGGCCAUGUCUUCCCUGAACCUUGUUGUCGCUGCAAACUUGACGCUUGGGAGCUCUCACCUGGUCCUGACUGAGUAUAACCGUCAUACCUGUAACCCUGUGACUGAGGUGGCAGAUGUCUAGGUGGUCGUUCGAAGUACUGGAGCCUGUAACUACCCUGAGACUGCUCCUAAGACCUAGCAAAUCUCAUUCUCCUCUGUUUCCCUGACUCAGUCCUCUUCGUACCCUGUUGUCGACGCCUACCCCUUUCUAUAUUUUGGGCAAAUGCCUGAAUCCGAGAGAUAUCCAUACUGUCCUGUAAUGCAGCGGUGGGACAUGCCUCGGUCAACUCUGGGUCCAACCCUGCUAUAAACCUGUGGAUCCUAUCCCGCAUAGUAGCAACUAUGGAUGGUACAUAUCUGGCCAAUGAGUCAAAACGGAGACUAUACUCUCAAACACUCAUAUUGCCCUACUUGAGGGUUAGAAACUGAUCGACUCAGGCCUAUUGGAUCUCCCGUGAUAAGUACUGGUCAAGAAAGGCAUCUGAAAAAUUCUCCCAAAUAGCUAGAGGUGUAUCAUGUCCCCUGGACCUUUUCCAUCCCUCGUACCAAAGGAUGUCUAUAUCUCGGAGUCGAAAAGUUGCUAGCUCAACUGUCUCUUUCUCCGUGGCAUGCAUAACCCGAAAGAUCCUCCGAAUCUGAUCUAUGAAAUCCUGCGGGUCCUCCUUCUGAUCUGUCCCUGUGAACUCAAGGGGACUCAAAGCAGUAAACUCUCGGACCCUUGAACUCCCAUAUCCCUCGAAAGGUCUUGUACUAGCGGAUGCCCUAGCUUGUUAUGGGUAGAUACCAAUUGUGCCAACAAAUGCACCGCACUCCUUAAGUCCUCAUCUGAUGGAAACGGAUGGAGAACUAGAUAUGUGGUCUCCCUAGGAAUCUCCUCAGCUAGCGGAGGAGCCAGUAAUUACUGGGUAGGAGUCUCUCCUAGGACUCCGACUGGGCCUCAUCUACUGGGGGUACCCUGCUAGUCCCCUCACCUACUGUUGUUUCCCUCCUCUGGCUAGCCGUAGUCUUCCUAGUUACCGUCAUCUGUGCAUGCAAACGUCAACAUGUAAGUUUAGCUCAAAUUUCCUAUAACUCAAUGCUACAGUACGAUUUAGAUUUGAAAGAAGGGUAACCAACUCCUAAAUGCCAUGUAGUCCCCUGCUUAUAUAAUGUGGUGCACCACAUAUAAAUAGGAACCUACUAUACAUGGCUUGUAGACUCCCUAGGACAGAACUGCUCUAAUACCACUUUUGUCAUGCCCCAAGCCUGGGGGCGAGACCGACACCUGGUGUCUUAUCUAUCAUUGCGUACCAACUUGCGACUAAGAGACUCUGAUAUGUAUACUUUGGCCAUGGGCCAUAUUACAAGUAAUGUACCAUGCAAAAUAUAAAAUUGCAUAGAGACUAAUGCUGACUAAAUGUCAAGAUACAGCUGGGCCGGCAAGGCCGUCAUAAUUACUACAACUGACAAGCCAAAAAAAUAUACGUACAGGUCCUACAAACCCAACAUACUGUGCUAACCGACAGGAUAUGUCUACAAGCCUCUACUAAUAGAUGUACUGUGAUCAGAACAGGGCCCCGAACUGCACAUAACCUAUCUACAUAUAUAUACAAGAUAUACAUAAAACUUCUAGACCCGGCAACUCCGAAGGACGGGGAGCUUAUCGAUAAAGCUGAACUCGGGCAAACACCUACUGAGGAGGUCUACCCGUCUGCCUGUCUGAACCUGCACGCAUGAAAUGCAACGCCCCCAGAAAGGGACGUCAGUAUGAAAUAAUGUACUGAGUAUGUAAGGCAAUGUACUGAAAGCUAAAGCUGAACUGAUAAUAUAAUAACUGCAAGUAGCUGGAAGUCAAAGAUAAUCUAACGAUAUGCUUAGCUGUUGAUACUUACUCAACCCUCUCAAUAUAGUAAGUAAAAUAGUUGUCCGGCCCUAUUAAGCUUGGUAUAUAUAUAUAACUGCUCUACCGAAGUAGGCUCGCUCAUAGGCGCUCGGCCAUACUAGGCUCUUUAUCUCGACCAACCGGGCUCGCUCAUAAGCGCUCGGCCACAAUAGGCUCGGUAUAUAACUUACCAUCUGAUAAGAGAUCGAUUAUAGCUCGAUGAUAAUGAAAAUAAUGUAAUACUGGAUAUAUAGACUCUCUGCUCUCUUGAUUGGAAGAAGGAAAUACUCAAUUCUUUGAUGUCGAAAGGGAAGUUUAACAUUUGCAUGCAUGCAUCAAUAAAAGCUUCAAGUAGAUGAAGCAGUAGACAUCUUUAUUUGGUAUUUAAUUUGGUGGUCAAUCAGAGGCUUUCAGAAUUUGACAAUUAUGUGAUAUUGGUCAGACUGAAAACAACGAAUGGGCUUCUUAAUGUAGUGAUAUCCUAUUUCUAUGAACUGAAAAGUUCAAGUAAUGAAUAUGAAGUCCCUCUAAAGAGAAUAUUAUAAUUUACAAAACUAAAAAAAUAUACGUAAAUUUUGGGAUAUGGAUUUUUAUUUAUGCUUCGUUAUCAAACUCGUGUAAUUACAAGAUUAUGACAAAAUGAAAGAAUGGCUUAGCCUUAACAUACCUGGAGUAGGGAAAAUUCCGUAUGAUAUUCUUGAAAAAAGGUUGCACCGUACUCCUUUAGAACCGCAAAAUUUUAUGUUGCUAAUAAUUCUCGUUGGAUCCCUUUUGGUUGCGAAAAUUCAUGUUGCUUAAUAUAACGCAUAGGAUCUGACUAGAGUAUUUUUGAAUGAAACUUGUUCAAAGUUUUUAGGGUAGCUAACGUUCCCCAUUUCUUAAUGGUGGUGUCUUGAUAUGGAAAAUGUUUAAAACUAAAUAAAGGUAUAACUAACAUGUUAUGCCACCUAGUAAGAAUAAGUGUUGUUGUUGUAAGAAUUAGCCACUGAAUCAAGAAUGACUCUUAGUCAUUCUUUUAACUAAUUGGCACGUUUUGGGUUGUCUAGUCUCAUAGUUUAAUUAUUAAUUAGGUAAUAUCCCGCUAUCCGGUAAUUAACCAAUUACCCGCAUAAUUAAGAAUUGUCUCAAAUUACUUAAAAUUCUACUUAUUUUUAAUAUACCUUAUACAUAAUAUUAUCGUGGUCAUAUGGUAUCUUACAUGGUACUAGUUCAUAAGUAUCGGGUAUUAUCGCUCGACCCAUAGUUUAUCCCAAUUCGACAACCUUCUACGAAACUCAUUUUCUUUAAUUCGUGUACCCCUUCCUUCAUGUCUGUCACGACCCGGAUUUUCUACCCUCGAGAGUCGUGAUGGCGCCUACUCGUAGAAACUAGGCAAGCCAUGAACUUAGAAAUCAUUAACUCCUUUAUUUUAAAACUUCUUACCAAUUAUAAUAACAAGAAAAUAAACCGUUAAAUAAUUGCGGAAUAUGAAAUUUAGCGGAAGUCUUAAGUAAAUAGAAAACGAAAAUGUCUCAAAGACCAUCACGUGCCUCUAACUAGAACCUGGUGUCACAACAUCCACAUACUACUAAGAAUACUAAAUACAACCGUUUGAAAGAAAUAUAGCAUUGUUUGUCUCGAAUACAUGAGAUAACAGAAUAUGAAAUAAGAUAGAGGAGACGCCGGGCCUGCGGACGCCUGCAAGGCUACCUCGGUGUCUCGGUGGACUGAAGGCUGGCUCCCGAGCUACUGCUGCUGACCAAAGUCUACUCCGAUAUCUACACAGAGUGCAGAGUGUAGUAUCAGCACAACCGACCCCAUCGUGCUGGUAANNNNNNNNNNNNNNNNNNNNNNNNNCAUCUUGUCGCAGGCGUGCAACCCGAUCCCAUUUUUCAUAUCUUGUGGUAGGCGUACCACCCACUCCCAUUUUAUUAUAUCUCGUGGUAGGCUACCACCCGCUCCCAUUUCAUUAUAUCUCGUGGUAGACGUACCACCCGCUCCCAUUUCAUCAUAUCUUGUGGUAGGCAUACCACCCGCUCCCAUUUCAUUAUAUCUUGUGGUAGGCGUACCACCCGCUCCCAUUUACAAGUCAUCACAACAUUACAAGAAAUUCUGGCAAGGGAACAAAAAUAAUAUAAUAACUUCUCGGCAAGGGAACAACAAUAUCGAGACAGUCAUCCUGGCAAGGGAGAAUCAGCUAUAACCAAAUCCUAACUCAUUUUGUACUCAGCUCAAUUAAUGACAAUACUGAAUCAUAACUAAGAUCUACGAGGAUAAAAUCAAUCUUUACUCAAUAUAGGAGAUCAUUAAUUAAAGCAUCUGAAGUGCCAUCUAAGAGCACAACAACGUUCAAAUUUAAGACUCACGGUCAUGCUCGAUAGCAACGUACAGAUACUCGUCACCAUGCCUAUAUGUCGCACUCAACAAGAAGCAAGUAGCAAUUAUGACUCAACUCAUAAUCCCUCAAGCUGAGGUUAGACCGAACACUUACCUCGAACUUUCACGGCCAACUCAAGCCUCGAACACCGCUUUUCCUCUCAAAUUCGGCUCCAACCCAAUCGAAUCUAUACAUAAUUGACUCAAUAUCAUCAAAGUGCUAAACAAUUCAAUUCCAAUGUUCAAUUAUAACUUUCCAAUCAUUCUUCCCAAAAUCCCAAAAAUCGACCCCGGGCCCGCUUGGUCAAAACAUGAGGUUUGGACCAAAACCCGAUCACCCAUUUGCCCAAGAGCCCGAAUAUAUAAUUUGUUUUCAAAUCCGACCCCAAAACAAGGUUUAAAUUACAAAUAAUCAAAAAGCCCUAACUCUACCCAAAUCCUUAAUUUCUACCCUUAAUUACAUGUUUUAGGCCUAAAAAUCUAGUGGGUGUUGAUGAAAAAUGAAGAAAACAAGUUAAAGAUUACUUACCCAAGAGAUUAUGGUGAAGAGAAUCUUCAAAAAUCGCCUAAGAGCUUUGGAUAAGAAGAGGUUUGUGAAAUUUUUAUAAAAUCCCGAAAGUGUUCUGUUUUUGGCCUUUUUAAAAUCACUGGGCAAAAAUACCCUUCGCGUUCGCGACUGACCCUUCGCGUUCGCGUACACGGGCUCGCGUUCGCGGAGAGUAAUCUCCUGGAGCCCUCGCGUUCGCGUCCAAGGGUUUGCGUUCGCGUAAGACAACUACUCCACCCCCUGCCCAGGCCCAUUUGGCCUUCGCGUUCGCGUGGCCAGGACCACGUUCAUGAAGGGUUAUCCCCCCCAAAGCCUCGUGUUCACGGCCUUAGCUACGCGUUCGCGUAGAAGGAAAUACCUUCAGCAACAAUUAACCCAUCGCGUUCGCGUGGGUACUCCCGCGAACGCGAAGAAGAAAGUACCAGAAACCCAACAGCUGAGAAACCUGCAACAUUUUCUAAGUCCGAAACCCUCCGAAACACAUCUGAAUCACACCCGAGCCCUCGGGGCUCCUAACCAAACACACGUACUAACUCAACAACUUCAUACGAACUUAUCCGUGCGAUCAAAUCGCCAAAAUAACCUCAAAAACAAUGAAUCAAACCUCAAAAUCAAAGGAUUUUUCUCAAACUUCAUAAAACAUCAACUUUAGCAAUUUAGGUCCAAAUCACGUCAAAGGGACUCCGUUUUCAACCAAAUUUUAUAAAAAUGACUUAAACCAUAUAUAAGACCUGUACCGGGUGCCGGAACCAAAAUACAGGCCCGAUACCAUCGCUUUCUAAUCAGAUUUCAUUUCAAAAUUCCUUAAACAUUUUCACAAAAUAAUUUUACUUAAAAAUUUAUUUCUCUGGCUUGAGACCUCGGAAUUCGAUUCCGGGCAUACACCCAAGUCCCAUAUUUUCCUACGGACCCUCCGGGACUGUCAAAUCACGGGUCCAAGUCCGUUUACCCAAAAUGUUGACUGAAGUCAAAUUUAUUCAUUUUAAACUCAAAUUUCAUCAUUUUUCACAGAAUUUCAUAUUUAAGCUUUCUGGCUACGCCCGGAUUAUGCACACAAAUCAAGGCAACUCUAAAUGAGAUUUUCAAGGCCUCGGAACAUGGAAGUUUCGUUUUAAAACAAGUGAUGCUGACCUUUUGGGUCAUCACAAUGGCACUUACUUAUUGCUUGGUAUAAAUAGCAUAAAUAUGCUAACAUCAAGGUAAUCUCAUCCCUGAGUUUAUGUUAAUUUACUGAAGAUGAAAUUUUUAACGUACGAAAAACGCGAGAUGUAACAACUAAAGGAAAAUCUGCAACUUUCAAAACAAGAAUUUGAUCCGUUUAACCACCCGAAACUCACCUGAGGCCCUCGGGACCUCAACCAAACAUGCCAACAUAUCCCAUAACAUCAUGCAAACUUGUUCCAACCUUCGGAACGCUCAAAACAAUAUCAAAACAUCAAAUUCUCAUCGGAUUCAAGCCUAAGAAUUUCAAAAACUUUUGAAUUCCGAAUUCGAUCAAAAAGUCUAUCAAACCUCGUCCGAAUGACCUGAAAUUUUGCACACACGUCAUAAAUGACACAACGGACCUACUCCAAUUUCCGAAGUUCCAUUCCGACCCCUACAUCAAAAUUUCCACUGCCAACCGGAAAAUGCCAAAAUUUCAAUUUCGCCAAAUCAAGCCAAAUUCUACCACAGAACUUCAAUAUACAUUCUGAACACGCUCCUAAGUCCAAAAUCACCCGACGGAGCUAACCAAAUCAUAAAAACCACGUUCCGAGAUCUUUUACUCACAAGUCAACUUCCGGUUGACUUUUUCCAACUUAUAAUCAACUUAAGAGACUAAGUGUCUCAUUUCUCUCUACAAUCAUUCUGAACCCGAGUCAAUCAACUCAACACAAAAUAAAAGAGCUGAACCACACAAAAUAAAGCAGAAAUAGGGAAAAUGGAGCUAAAACUCUCAGAACGACCAAUCGGGUCGUUACACCAAUAAAGUAUGAAUAGGCUUCUGGCAAUUAACACAUUAGUAGUUGAUGAAAUGGCUUUUUGUUUUAAGUAUAUUAUAAUUCCCUCUUUUCUUUUGUCAAAGUUACGAUGUCGCAUUUUUUCUAGCAUGUACCAAAUUUUGCUCUUCACUCCAUAUAUUAAUGUUAGGCGUCUGCUCUCUCUUUUUCAUAUCUCAAAAUUUAUCCCAAGUUUUACUGUUUUUAGUGUAAAUGCCAUAGAAAACAUAUUGUUAGAAAUUAACUAUUUAGGUGCUUAGUUUAAAUGUUUUCGUGUUUAGUAAUAAGUUUUAAAAGUGGUUUGCUUCAUAGAGUUUGUUUCUAAAAAAUAAUAAGAUUUAGGUCCUUUCAUAUAAAUUCUACAUGUAUAGAAGUCACUACCUUAAGAAGAACAUUUGAAGAAUGCUCCAUAUUAAAAUAUUUCUUCUUUUGUGAGUUAAGAACUGUUUUUAUCAUUAUAGAUUUAUACUCUAUUUAUGAAAAUAAAUUAAUAAACUAUCUGGGCCAUUUAAACCAGUGAAUACCUAAAGUUAUUUUGCGAGAUAGCUCUGUACGUAUGUUUGCCUAAGUACUUAAGUUUUUCUAGCUAAGAAAUAACAUUGAUUUAUUAUAAACUUAGGACUAGUUAAUGCUUAAACAAUUUAUUAUAGACUAGAAAUUGUACUCCCAGAUGGUAGAAAAGAUAAUAUUCAGAAAGGUUAAAAUAUCAUGUGCAAAGGACUUGAAGUUUAUUGAAACUACCUGUUAUUAUUAAGGUUCUUGUAUGUGCCCUUAAGAGAAGUUUGCUCUUAACUAAGUGCAGAAGUUUGACAUACCUUUCAAAUUAUUUUUCUUUCCUUACUGUUACUAUCGAGUGUGCCAUUAGGAUAUUUUAGUAUUUGCUUCUAAUACUUGAAAUAAAGUAAGAAAGCAUGUGUUUUGUGUGUUAAAAGAUAUCAUGCGUAUUAUUUGUCUUAAAAAAGUCUGCUGCUGCUUCGUCAUUUCCUUUAAAAAAGCAUGCUACUAGGAAUGAAAUAUCUAAUUUUAAGACUUAAUAUAGAAGUGGGAAACCAUGUUGUUCUGAGUGUAAAGGAUUAUGUUGACCAUAUUAAUCUGUUUGACCCUUUAGAUUUCUCAUGAAUGCGGAAAGUUAGUAUUCUGACUUAUUAUUUCAGUUAGAAAACAUGUAUAAAGACCAUAAAUCUUUUGGCAUAAGCUUGUUAAAAUUUUUAAAAAAAAAACUGUCUUAUUAGAGUUCAUAAUCUUGCUGUAAGUUUUGUCCAAGUCUAUUUCUAACUCGCUUUGUAAUGAUCCGACCGGUCGUUUUGAGGUCUAGCGCAUCGUUCAACAGUUUGAGACCAUGAACAGCUUCACUUCAGGUAUUAUGACUUUUACGCAUGAUCGGAUUGAAUUUUGGGAAGUUCAGAGUCGAUUGGAAAGAGAAUUCUCAUUUCGGAAGCUUUAAGUUGAUAGAAGUGACUAAGAUUGGAUUCUUAAGUAAACAGCCUCGGAAUUGAGAUUCGAAGGUUCCAGCAUGUUCGUAUGAUGAUUUUGGACUUGGGCAUAUGUCCGGAUAGAGUUUUGGAAGAUCCGGGAAUGUUUCGGCACCUAUUGUGGAAGUUAGCAUUUUUUGAAGAAUUUCAUAAGUUUGGGUUGUAGUGCAUUUCAGAGUUAUCGAUGUCCGUUUGGGAUUCCGAGUCUGGGAAUAGCUCCGUAUAGUAAUUCUGGUAUUGGGAGCGCGAUCGGAGUGAAUUCAGAGGUCUGUGGGUCAUUUUGGAGUCAUUUGGCUAAAGUUGGAAAUUUGAAAGUAUUUGAGAAGUUUGACCGGAAGUGGCCUUUUUGAUAUCGGGGUUGAAUUCCAUUUCGGAUGUUGGAGUAGGUCCACUACUUCAAAUAUGACUUGUGUGCAAAAUUAGAGGUCAAUCGGAUGUGAUUUGAUAGGUUUUGGCAUCGAAUGUUGAAGUUUGAAUUUCCCAAGUUCAUCAAGUUUGAUUUGGGGUGUGAUUCAUGAUUUUAGUGUUGUUUGACGUGAUUUGAGGACUCGAGUAGAUCCGCAUUAUGUUAUGGGACUGAUUGGUGUGUGAUUGGAUGGGGUUCUGAGUGCCUCGGGUGGAUUCCGGGUGGUUAACAGAUCGAAAAAGGGAGUUGAGGAAGAGCUGAAGUAGCUGAGCAUCUGGUGUAACCGCACCUGCGUAAGGAGGGCCGCAGGUGCGGGAGAUGACUCGCAGAAGCGGAAUAGAGCCGGGCCGGAGGGGAUUGCAGAAGCAAAAUGAUGUGUGCACCUGCGAUGGCGUAGGUGUGAUGCCAGUAGCUGCAGAAGCGACAAAGACCGCAGGUGCGGAAGGAGAGGCCGCAGAAGCGGUGGCGCAGGUGCGAGUGGCCGGGCUAGGCACGGUGUUUGUUUAAAAUGAGGGUUUGGCUCAUUUCAACCUUAUUUCCUCCAUGAGAGCCGACCUUUGAGCGAUUUUGGAGCUCUAUCUUCAUCAUCCAUGUCAAGGUAAAUGGUUUUUACUAGUUUUGAGUUAAAUACUUGGAUAAUAAACGGAUUUAAGCAUGAAAAUAGGUAGAAACUUGGGGUUUGAGGGAAAACCUAGAAAAUUGGUAUUUUUGGAUUUUGACCACGAUUUUGGGCAUGAAAUUAAGAAUAAAUUACAUAUUGGAGUUCGUGAGGUUAUGGGUAAAGUUUUGUUCGAAAAAUUUCGGAAUCCGGGCACGUGGGUCCGAGGGCAAUAUUGUCAACUUUUCGAGCGGAGUUGGGAUUUUAUAUAAAUUGAAUUUUUAUGAAUAUUAGGGUGUAUUUUCAUUGGUUUGCCCGUUAUUUGGAUAGUGUUGGAGCAUUGGGGCAUUGGUUUGAGUCGUCGGAAGGGCUUGGAAGCCGGUCAUUGGACUUCAGAGUAAGGUAAGUCUCCUUUCUAACCUUGUAAGAGGGAAUUGUCCCCAUAGAUUAAUAAUUGGUUAUGUGCUUCUAUUUGUGGGAGCUACGUACGCACGAGGUGAUGAAAGUCCGUGCGUAACUACUAUAUUACGUUUAAGUCCGGGUAGUCUAGGACCCAAAAACAUGUUAUACUUGAAAUAUUUGUAAUCUUAUUGACAGUUUGAAUUGCUUAAAUCACAUGGUAAUCUUAUAUGUUGAGGUUCUGUGUAGCGAUGGUAUUGUGUGAACAGGAUGGCUCUUUAGUUUCAGAACAUAUAUCGUACCUCAGUUGUGCUUGAGUUGGUUAGCUUAUGGCGCUAUAUGUAUCCCCAGGGAUGGUAUUAUGCACUUAGCGUGCUUGUGACCGAUAUUCGGUAAUUUCGUUGUAAUGAGCAAUUUAGCUCGGUGUGUAUCUCCUUAUGUGAAUUCUAUGUGUGGAUCGGGUGGCAUGCCGCCAUGGGUAUGCUGUUUGGAUUGGGUUGCAGGCCGCAACAGUGUGUUAUUGAGUGCAAUUCCCUAUAUCUGUUUUUAUGUGUUUUAUUUCCCAUUUUUCUGAGGAAAGCUCGUAUUAGAUGCGUAAGUUGAGUAGUCCCUUCCCGAGUUUGUUUUCCUUAUGUAUCACAUUCGAGUUGUAGCCUAUUGGCAUAUUGUGGCAUUAUAUGAGACUUUUGGUCAUGUCUAGGGCAGCUUAUUGCCUGAGCAGCUCGUACUGGGUGAGACGAGACUAUUGGAUUUAUGAUUAGUGUGUUCGGAUUAUAGGAAGUAUAAUGAGGUUCAGAAUGAGGUGGAGAUUCUUGUCAAGUGUAUAGACUCAAUGAAUUAUUGACUCGGCAGUUGGUUAUGAACUUCCACACAUCUCUUCCAUCAUGGCGUAUUGCAAGGGGUUAGAACAGGACUUAGAUAUGUCAUGAGGUGCAUCGGGAGCAUCAAAUUCGUGGAAAUUUUUGCCAUUAUGAUCAGCGAAUGUUAUUUUGGUCCUGUGAGUAAAGUGGUGUAAGGUGUGAAUUCAGCGAAGGUAUGCAGUCAUGCUUGGUACAGUGUGUAGUGAUUGGUGCGGUGUUCGUAUGUUAGAAACAGGCCUGGCAGAGAAUUCCGGAUGUUAGAAUUUGGUUCUAAGCUUAUUUGCUUGAAUGACAGAGAAUAUCUUCAGAUUUGCUCGGGCUAAUGUGCUCAACUGAGUUGUGGUAGCACGGGUAGGAGCACAAGAUGCCAAACAAUGAUUUUAGACAGCUCCAGCGCAGUUCUUAGCACGUUCAAAGACGAACGUAUGUUUAAGUGGGAGAGAAUGUAACGACCCGACCGGUCAUUUUGAGCUCUAGCGCAUCGUUCGGCAGUUUGAGACCAUGAGCAGCUUCACUUCAGGUAUUAUGACUUGUACGCGUGGCCGAAAUUGAAUUUUGGGAAGUUCAGAGUCGAUUGGAAAGAGAAUUCUCAUUUCGGAAGCUUUAAAUUGAUAGAAGUGACUAAGAUUGGAUUCUCGAGUAAACGGCCUCGAAAUCGAGAUUCGAAGGUUCCAGCAGGUUCGUAUGAUGAUUUCGGACUUGGGUGUAUGUCCGGAUCGAGUUUUGGAAGACCCGGGAAUGUUUCGGCACCUAUUGUGGAAGUUAGCAUUUUUGGAAGAAUUUCAUAAGUUUGGGUUAUAGUGCAUUUCAGUGUUAUCGAUGUCCGUUUGGGAUUCCGAGUCUGAGAAUAGCUUCGUAUGGUGCUUCUGGUGUUGGGAGCGCGAUCGGAAGUGAAUUCAGAGGUCCGUGGGUCAUUUUGGAGUCAUUUGGCUAAAGUUGGAAAUUUGAAAGUAUUUGAGAAGUUUGACCGGAAGUGGACUUUUUGAUAUCGGGGUCAGAUUCCUAUUUCAGAAGUUGGAGUAGGUCCGCAAUGUCAAAUAUGACUUGUGUGCAAAAUUUGAGGUCAACCGGAUGUGAUUUGAUAGGUUUCGGCAUCGAAUGUUGAAGUUUGAAUUUUUCAAGUUCAUCAAGUUUGAUUUGGGGUGUGAUUCGUGGUUUUAGCAUUGUUUAACGUGAUUUGAGGCCUUGAGUAGGUCCGCAUUAUGUUAUGGUACUGGUUGGUGUGAUUGGACGGGAUUUCGGGGGCCUCGGGUGGAUUCUGGGUGGUUAACGGAUCGAAAAAGGGAAUUGAGGAAGAGCUGAAGCAGCUGAGCAUCUAGUGUAACCGCACCUGCGUGAGGAGGGCCGCAGGUGCGAGAGAUGGCUCGCAGAAGCAGAAUGGAGCCAGGCUGGAGGGGAUCACAAAAGCGAAAUGAUGUGUGCACCUGCAAUGGCGCAGGUGCGAUGUCAGUAGCUGUAGAAGCGAUAAAGACCGCAGGUACUGAAGGAGAGGCCGCAGAAGCGGUGGCGCAGGUGCGAGUGGUCGGACUGGGUAGUGUGUUUGUUUAAAACGGGGGUUUGGCUCAUUUUAACCCCAUUUCCUCCAUGGGAGCUGAUCUUUGGGCGAUUUUGGAGCUUCAUCUUCAUCAUCCAUGUCAAGGUAAGUGGUUUUUACUAGUUUUGAGUUAAAUACUUGGAUUAUAUACGGAUUUGAGCAUGAAAAUGGGUAGAAACUUAGGGUUUGAGUGAAAACCUAGAAAAUUGGUAUUCUUGGAUUUUGACCAUGAUUUUGGGCAUGAAAUUAAGAAUAAAUUACAUAUUUGAGUUCGUGAGGUUAUGGGUAAACUUUAUCUUCGAAAAAUUUCAGAAUCCGAGCACGUGGGCCCGAAGGCGAUAUUGUCAACUUUUCGAGCGGAGUUGGGAUUUUAUAUAAAUUGAAUUGUUAUGAAUAUUAGGGUGUAUUUUCAUUAGUUUGCCCGUUAUUUGGCUAGUUUUGGAGCGUUGGGGCAUCGAUUUGAGUCGUCGGAAGGGCUUGGAAGCCGGUCAUUGGACUUCAGAGCGAGGUAACUCUCCUUUCUAACCUUGUAAGAGGGAAUUGUCCCCAUAAGUGAAAUAAUUGGUUAUGCGCUUCUAUUUGUGGGGCAUACGUAUGUACGAGGUGACGAGAGUCCAUGCGUAGCUACUAUUAUGUUUAAGUCCGGGUAGUCUAGGACCCAAAAGCAUGCUAUACUUGGAAUAUUUGUAAUCUUAUUGACAAUUUGAAUUGCUUAAAUCACAUUGAAUUAGUAAAUGAAUUUCUAAAAAGAUUAAAUUUCAUUUUCUUAAAUUUUUAAAACAGAAAUUGGUUUUCUUUGCAUAAUUGUUCCCUGAUGACUUCUUGAUUGACUGUCUAUGUGUGUUUAAUUUUAGAAUGGGCCGAACGCCUCGGCAGAUUAAAUAGAUGCAUCUAUGGUUCGCGCCAUUCGACUCUCUGGCAGUGUACAGUUUAAAUAUUUGUUGGAUCGGGUAAUGCUAUAUUGUGCUGUGUGAGUUGUGAAUGGCUCGAUAAUUUUCUUAUAUGUUGAGGUUCUGUGUAGCGAUGGUAUUGUGUGAACAGGAUGGCUCUUUAGUUUCAGAACAUAUAUCGUACCUCAGUUGUGCUUGAGUUGGUUAGCUUAUGGCACUAUAUGUAUCCCCAGGGAUGGUAUUAUGCAUUUAGCGUGCUUGUGACCGAUAUUCGGUAAUUUCGUUGUAAUGAGCAAUUUAGCUUGGUGUGUAUCUCCUUAUGUGAAUUCUAUUUGUGGAUCGGGUGGCAUGCCGCCAUGGGUAUGCUGUUUGGAUUGGGUUGCACGCCGCAACAGUGUGUUAUUGAGUGCAAUUCCCUAUAUCUGUUUUUAUGUGUUUUGUUUCCCAUUUUUCUGAGGAAAGCUCGUAUUAGAUGCGUAAGUUGAGUAGUCCCUUCCUGAGUUCGUUUUCCUUAUGUAUCACAUUCGAGUUAGUAGUCUAUUGGCAUAUUGUGGCAUCAUAUGAGACUUUUGGUCAUGUCUAGGGCGGCUUAUUGCCUGAGCAGCUCGUACUGGGUAAGACGAGACUAUUAGAUCUAUGAUUAGUGCGUUAGGAUUAUAGGAAGUAUAAUAAGGUUCAGAAUGAGGUGGAGAUUCUUGUUAGGAGUAUAAGCUCAAUGAAUUAUUGACUCGGCAGUUGGUUAUGAACUUCCACACAUUUCUUCUGUCAUGGCGGUAUUACAAGGGGUUAGAACAGGACUUAGAUAUGUCAUGAGGUGCAUCGGGAGCAUCAGGUUCGGGGAAAUUUUGGCCAUUAUGAUCUACGAAUGUUAUUGUGGUCCUGUGAGUAAAGUGGUGCAAGGUGUGAAUUUAACGAAGGUAUGCAGUCAUGCUUGGUACAUCGUGUAGUGAUUGGUGCGGUGUUCGUGUGUUGGAAACAGGCCUGGCAGAGAAUUCCGGAUGUUGGAAUUGGGUUCUAAGCUUAUUUGCUUGAAUAAAAGAGAAAAUCUUCAGAUUUGCUCGGGCUGAUGUGCUCAACUGAGUUGUGGUAGCACGUGUAGGUGCACAAGGUGCCAAACAAUGAUUUCAGGCAACUCCAGCGCAGUUCUUAACACGUUUGAGGACCAACGUAUGUUUAAGUGGGAGAGAAUAUAACGACUCGACCGGUCGUUUUGAGAUCUAGCACGUCGUUUAGCAGUUUCACUUCAGGUAUUAUGACUUGUAUGCGUGGUCCGAAUUGAAUUUUAGGAAGUUCAGAGUCGAUUGGAAAGAGAAUUCUCAUUUCGGAGGCUUUAAGUUGAUAGAAGUGACUAAGAUUGGAUUCUUGAGUAAACGGUAUCGGAAUCGAGAUUCGAAGGUUCCAGCAGGUUCGUAUGAUGAUUUCGGACUUGGGCAUAUGUCCGGAUCGGGUUUUGGAAAACCCGGGAAUGUUCGGCACCUAUUGUGGAAGUUAGCAUUUUUGGAAGAAUUUCAUAAGCUUGGGUUGUAGUGUAUUUCAGUGUUAUUGAUGUCCGUUUGGGAUUUAGAGUCUGGGAAUAGCUCCAUAUGGUGAUUCUGGUGUUGGGAGCACGAUCGGAAGUGAAUUCAGAGGUCUGUGGGUCAUUUUGGAGUCAUUUGGCUAAAGUUGGAAAUUUGAAAGUAUUUGAGAAGUUUGACCGGAAGUGAACUUUUUGAUAUCGGGGUCGUAUUCCGAUUUCGGAAGUUGGAGUAGGUNNNNNNNNNNNNNNNNNNNNNNNNNNNNNNNNNNNNNNNNNNNNNNNNNNNNNNNNNNNNNNNNNNNNNNNNNNNNNNNNNNNNNNNNNNNNNNNNNNNNNNNNNNNNNNNNNNNNNNNNNNNNNNNNNNNNNNNNNNNNNNNNNNNNNNNNNNNNNNNNNNNNNNNNNNNNNNNNNNNNNNNNNNNNNNNNNNNNNNNNNNNNNNNNNNNNNNNNNNNNNNNNNNNNNNNNNNNNNNNNNNNNNNNNNNNNNNNNNNNNNNNNNNNNNNNNNNNNNNNNNNNNNNNNNNNNNNNNNNNNNNNNNNNNNNNNNNNNNNNNNNNNNNNNNNNNNNNNNNNNNNNNNNNNNNNNNNNNNNNNNNNNNNNNNNNNNNNNNNNNNNNNNNNNNNNNNNNNNNNNNUCAAGUUCAUCAAGGUUGAUUUGGGGUGUGAUUCAUGAUUUUAGCGUUGUUUGACGUGAUUUGGGGCCUCGAGUAGGUCCGUAUUAUAUUAUGGGAUUGAUUGGUGUGAUUGGACGGGGUUCCGGGGCCUCAGGUGGAUUCCGGGUAGUUAACGGAUCGAAAAAGGGAGUUGAGGAAGAGCUGAAGCAGCUGAGCAUCUGGUGUUACCGGACCUGCGUGAGGAGGGCCGCAAUUGUGUGCUCGCGGGUGCAGGAGAUGGCUCGCAGAAGCAGAAUGGAGCCGGGCCGAAGGGGAUCGCAUAAGCGAAAUGAUGUGCGCACCUACGAUGGCGCAGGUGCGAUGCCAGUAGCCGCAGAAGCGACAAAGACCGCAGGUGCAGAAGGAGAGGCCGCAGAAGCAGUGGCGCAGGUGCGAGUGGUCGGUUGGGCAGUGUGUUUGUUUAAAACGGGGGUUUGGCUCAUUUCAACCCCAUUUCCUCCAUGGGAGCCGAUCUUUGGGCGAUUUUGGAGCUCCAUCUUCAUCAUCCAUGUCAAGGUAAGUGGUUUCUACUAGUUUUGAGCUAAAUACUUAGAUUAUAUAUGGAUUUGAGCAUGAAAAUGGGUAGAAACUUGAGAUUUGAGGGAAAACCUAGAAAAUUGGUAUUCUUAAAUUUUGACCACGAUUUUGGGCAUGAAAUUAAGAGUAAAUUAUAUAUUUGAGUUCGUGAGGUUAUGGGUAAACUUUAUCUUCGAAAAAUUUCAGAAUCCGAGCACGUGGGCCCGAAGGCGAUAUUGUCAACUUUUCGAGCGGAGUUGGGAUUUUAUAUAAAUUGAAUUGUUAUGAAUAUUAGGGUGUAUUUUCAUCAGUUUGCCCGUUAUUUGGCUAGUUUUGGAGCGUUGGGGCAUCGAUUUGAAUCGUCGGAAGGGCUUGGAAGCCGGUCAUUGGACUUCGGAGCGAGGUAAGUCUCCUUUCUAACCUUGUAAGAGGGAAUUAUCCCAUAAGUGAAAUAAUUGGUUAUUCGCUUCUAUUUGUGGGGUCUACGUACGCACGAGGUGACGAGAGUCCGUGCGUAGCUACUAUUAUGUUUAAGUCCGUGUAGUCUAGGACCCAAAAGCAUGCUAUACUUGGAAUAUUUGUAAUCUUAUUGACAAUUUGAAUUGCUUAAAUCACAUCGAAUUAGUAAAUGAAUUUCUAAAAAGAUUAAAUUUCAUUUUCUUAAAUUGUUAAAACAGAAAUUGGCUUUCUUUGGAUAAUUGUUCUCUGAUGACUUCAUGAUUGACUGUCUGUGUGUGUUUAAUUUUGGAACGGGUCGAACGCCUCGGCAGAUUAAAUAGAUGCAUUUAUGGUUCGCGUCAUUCGAUACUCUGGCAGUGCACAAUUUAAAUAUUUAUUGGAUCGGGCCGUACGACCUCCUUUGCGCAUUCUUGUAAUGCUUGCUUGAGAUUUGCAAGUUGAUAUUGUCUCCCUGGUCUGAGAUAAAUUGAUAAUUAAUGGACUAUAAAUUUGGAGACUCCUAAAUGUAAAAAGGGAUGUUUACUUGUUUUUUGACUUACUUGAGUUUAUUGCCGCUUUAAUGAAUCCAUGAUUAUUCGCAUUAUUUGUAUAUUAUUAUUGGACCACUAGUAAGUGUCGAAGUCGACCUCUCGUCUCUACUUCUUCGAGGUUAGACGGGAUACUUACUGGGUGCACGUUGUUUUCGUACUCAUACUACACUUGAUGUACAUUUUUGUUGCACAGGUUCAUGUGUGGCUAGUGGCUUAGUGGCGUAGCGGCAUGGUUGAUGCGGGGACUUAGGUGAGCUGCAUCUUGCGAGACGAUCCACAGCCAGCAGAGCCUCUUUUAGAGUAUUGUACUGUAUUAUUUCAUUCCUGUCCAAUUGUAUUCCGAACAGUUAUUGUAUUUUAUUUCAUUCCAUAAUAAAUGCUCAUGCACUUGUGACACCGGGUUCUGGGAUGAUUAUGGGGUAAUUGUAUUAAUUCCUAAACAUUUCUAUUUAAUUUUCAACGGAUAUCUUUUACUAGUAAAAUUGAAGGAAAAAUCAUAGUUUUCAAAAUUAUUAAAACAAGGCCUAAAUUAAGUAUAUAUGAUUGGCUUGCCUGACAGCGAUGUCCGGCGCCAUCACGACCCUUAGUGGAUUUUGGGUCGUGACACCCUUCUUUCUAAUUUCUUGCUUUUCUCUUUCUUUGUUUGGCAUAGGCACUUGGAGCAAUAUGAGGUUUAAUGCAAGACUCGAAUGGUACAAGCAUGGAGUCAUUACUAUUGAGUCCUAGAUUAUAAUGGACAUCUAGAAGAAGGACAAGCGAAAAGCUUGGGGUCACCUAUGGCGGCCUUCGUUAUUUACAUUUACUUUGUUUUGAAUUUUUAAUCAAUUUGAUUAUAUUCUUUUGAUUAGUUCUACACUUAACUUGGGAUUAUUGAUGUGGUUUUCACUUCUUCACUUAGUAUUCUCACUCAAUUAUUGGCAGA
rnacentral:lncRNA from 1 species